GAGGUGCCCAUGAAUAGUCGCAGGGCGCCCCUGCAAAUUAGGGAGAACCAAUAGAGCUGGGGGGCCAUGAGCAGAGCAGCACCGAGGUUACAGUGCCAUGGCACUUUGAAGGGAACCAUGUGGAAGGGGAUGGAGGCGUACCUGGAUACAAACAGGAGAUUAAGAGGAUUACAGGACUGUAAAGACAUGUUCCCAGUCUUAUUUACAUAAUCCAUAUGAUAGAGAUCACGCGACCCCAGCUCAGCGAGAGAGCAGAACAUGAGAAAACAGAGAUGGAAAGAAAGACAUACCUUCCAUAGGCGUAGUAGAGGAAGAAGCAAUGAUGUAGCCAGCUGAGGAAGCCAUGACUGCCUGGACUGACGACACCAACCUUGGAACAGAGAAUGGAAAAUAAACACAAAGCUUUCCUCAA